ACUGUGAUAGACUUUAUUGUUAGAGCUUAACGCUUAUAAUGGGGAUUCCAUGCAUCAUUUGCUUCAUCUUAUUAUCCAUACAAAGUGUCACAUGUCAGGAGAUCAGGAUGGAUCAGUCUCCAGCUCAGGUGAAGAAACCUGGAGAAAGGGUCAAGAUUUCCUGUAAGAUUUCUGGAUAUGACAUGACCGAGUACGUCAUGCACUGGAUCCGACAGAAACCAGGAGAAGCUCUGCAGUGGAUUGGGGGAAUAAACUCUGGUUCAGGCUAUGAGCCAACCUAUGCAAAUUACAUGAAAUAUCACUUCAUUCUGACUGAGGACGUUCCCUCAAGCACACAGUUCUUAGAGGCCAAGAGUCUGAGAGCAGAAGAUACUGCUGUUUAUUAUUGCGCUCGAGAGCCACAGUGA